UACGUAGGGUGCGAGCGUUGUCCGGAAUUACUGGGCGUAAAGAGCUCGUAGGUGGUUUGUCGCGUUGUUCGUGAAAACUCACAGCUUAACUGUGGGCGUGCGGGCGAUACGGGCAGACUGGAGUACUGCAGGGGAGACUGGAAUUCCUGGUGUAGCGGUGAAAUGCGUAGAUAUCAGGAGGAAUACCGGUGGCGAAAGCGACUCUCUGGACGGCAACUGACGCUGAGGCACGAAAGCGUGGGGAGCAAACAGG
rnacentral:rRNA from 1 species